rnacentral:rRNA from 1 species
UUAGAGUUUGAUCCUGGCUCAAGAUGAACCCUUUCGGCAGGCUUAACACAUGCAAGUCGAGGGGCAGCAUGUCCAGCAAUGGAUGAUGGCGACCGGCGGAAGGGUGCGUAACGCGUGAGCAACAUGCCCUAUACAGGGAGAUACACCAGGGAAACUUGGUCUAAUAUCCCAUAUCAUUCAUUGAAGGCAUCUUUAAUGAAUUAAAGCUUCGGUGGUAUAGGAUUGGCUCGCGUGACAUUAGCCAGAUGGUGAGGUAACGGCUCACCAUAGCAAUGAUGUCUAGGGGUUUUGAGAGGAAGGCCCCCCACACUGGGACUGAGACACGGCCCAGACUCCUACGGGAGGCAGCAGUGAGGAAUAUUGGACAAUGGAUGGAAAUCUGAUCCAGCCAUGCCGCGUGCAGGAAGACGGCCUUAUGGGUUGUAAACUGCUUUUAUACGGGAGCAAUAAGGGUUACGAGUAAUCCGAUGAGAGUACUGUAUGAAUAAGGAUCGGCUAACUCCGUGCCAGCAGCCGCGGUAAUACGGAGGAUCCGAGCGUUAUCCGGAAUUAUUGGGUUUAAAGGGUGCGUAGGCGGCCAUUUAAGUCAGCGGUGAAAUUUUGCAGCUUAACUGUAAGCUUGCCGUUGAAACUAUUAUUCUUGAGUGUAGAUAAGGUAGGCGGAAUGUGUUGUGUAGCGGUGAAAUGCUUAGAUAUAACACAGAACACCAAUUGCGAAGGCAGCUUACCGGGUUACCACUGACGCUGAGGUACGACAGCGUGGGGAUCAAAAAGGACUAGAUACCCUGGUAGUCCACGCCGUAAACGAUGAAUACUCGCUGUUUGCGAUAUAGUGCAAGCGGCCAAGCGAAAGCAUUAAGUAUUCCACCUGGGGAGUACGUUCGCAAGAAUGAAACUCAAAGGAAUUGACGGGGGCCCGCACAAGCGGAGGAACAUGUGGUUUAAUUCGAUGAUACGCGAGGAACCUUACCCGGGCUUGAAAUGCAAUCGACUGACUUGGAAACAGGUCAUCCAGCAAUGGCGAUUGUGUAGGUGCUGCAUGGUUGUCGUCAGCUCGUGCCGUGAGGUGUCGGCUUAAGUGCCAUAACGAGCGCAACCCUUGCCGUUAGUUGCUAACAGGUUAUGCUGAGGACUCUAGCGGGACUGCCAUCGUAAGGUGCGAGGAAGGUGGGGAUGACGUCAAAUCAGCACGGCCCUUAUGUCCGGGGCGACACACGUGUUACAAUGGGGGGUACAGCGGGCAGCUACCGUGCGAGCGGAUGCUAAUCUCUGAAAGCCUCUCUCAGUUCGGAUCGGAGUCUGCAACUCGACUCUGUGAAGCCGGAUUCGCUAGUAAUCGCGCAUCAGCCAUGGCGCGGUGAAUACGUUCCCGGGCCUUGCACACACCGCCCGUCA